GCACCUCAGUACAACCCUGUUGAUUCUGUUUGACGAGGGUCCUUGUUGGUGCCAGAGAGACUCAAAGUGAAUCCAGAUGGAUCUCUUCUGUUGGAAUCUGUCUCUACUACUUUGAUACACAA